rnacentral:misc_RNA from 1 species
UACGAACUGUGCGAACGUUACCCGGAUUCACUGGGCGUAAAGGGUGUGUAGGCGGCAUGGUUAGUCGUGUGUUAAAGCCCGGGGCUUAACCCCGGAAUCGCAUACGAAACGGCCACGCUAGAGGGUGCGAGAGGUCUGUAGAACUCACGGUGUAGGGGUGAAAUCCGUUGAUAUCGUGGGGAAUACCGAAAGCGAAGGCAGCAGACUGGCGCAUUUCUGACGCUGAGACACGAAAGCGUGGGUAGCGAAUGGG